CUCUCACUAAAAUCAAAACCUCUCUCUUCUCUCAUACCCACCCAAAUCAAGAACAAGGAAGACGACCCCCCCCCCCGGCGACCCCCUGGUUUCUCCGGCUGUAGCGCCACCGCUCAUAGCGGCGGUGAACACAAGCAACAACGGUCAAUCAGGCGAUACAAGCAACAUCUCCGGCCACGUCUUCCGAUCUCCGACGCCGCCACCGCCACCGCCACCCCCACCGCCUCCGACGUGUUCUCUGUCCGACGAUGAUGUUAAUGAAGAUGGCAGCCGGCGCCGGAGUUACCAGCGACGGCGGUCACUGUGGUGGUGCGUGGUUUGAGUUUGAGCAGUGACAGCCGUGGUGGUUGUCUUUGUUCACGGCGGCGGUGUGAACGGGCUUGGCGAUGAACGAUUGUGAGGGGGUGGGUUUCUUUUGAUUUUGGGUAUGCUGGGUUUCUUUUGAUUUUGGGUAUGCUGGGUUUCUUGAAUGUUUGAAUAUGUGGGUUUCUUUUGAUUCAUCUGCACACUGAUAUGGAACAUUGUGGGUAUGAUGGGUUUCUUUUGAUUUUGGGUAUGCUGGGUUUCUUGAAUGUUUGAAUAUGUGGGUUUUUUUGAA